GUUCAUCUGCGGGCGGACUGGGGUGGAAGAGUGCCUAAGACAGAAAAACAACAGUACCGUCCAAGAAAAACAUGGCUCCGUCAUGAGCAAUUCGUACUGAACAGAGAGAAUUCCAGUCUACUUGAGUCUACAGGGGCUGAGCGGAGCCCUACUUGGAAGUGUGCACUCUGUCUGGAACAUUCUCUUCGACCUCACCCUUUCUUUGCUGCCCCCAUGGCGUACCCAGUGAAUGGUGUCCUCUGGCUCACAGCUUCUAUCAAUCCCAAAGGGUGAGAAUAAGACCACCACCAUAAUUUUGAGCUAAAUUUGAAGCAAGCUUUAAUUAAAAGAUAGUCCAGGAUGAUGGACUCUAGCCAGAUCCAUCCCAGAAUUCCUGGAAAAUGGCCAUGAGCUACAUUGGCCAAGUGCUUACAAAGACAAACCCACAAGGCCACAUACUUCCUGCCUUUGUCCAAUCUGGGACAAGCAUACAUCCCGACCUACUUCCUGCUUAGAAGCGAUCAAGCACAGCUGUUACAGCUGGGUCAACCAAACUUGUUUAGGGGUGAGGAAACAUGCAGCUUGUUAUCUUAUAUGAACAGCAGUCAGCAGAAUUUCAGAAGUGCCUGUCCUUGGGUGUGGGGCUCACAGGCUAGAGGCAUUUUUAUUCUCUGGAUCUCUUGGGCACAGGAAUCAAAACUUGGAAUGUUUCUUUGGCUCUUACACUUCCUAGUGCUUCACACCAGUGUUUUCAAAGUGCCAGCCCGUGAAGCAGCAGCAGCAGCAGCCACCUCCCCCUUGCAAACGUGUGAGAAUGAGCAUCCAGAGGACCACCCCACAUACACAUAUACCUUCUGAAUGUCAACAUGGAGUGCUUUAAUGGACAAGACAAUGGAAAGCCAUUAUCUGCGCCUUUGUUUCCCCCUCCUUUCAACAUAAGCAAAAUGCUGCACUUGUUUCUAGUGGUGCUUCCUAUGAAAUACCAUAUUAAGUGUCCGAGUUAAUAUGGUAUGCCUCACAGAAGUGCGUGAGGGCAUAGUGCAGGAGAGGAAAAGGCUGCAUAACAUGCAUGACUGUUAUUCACACACAGUCCCAACUACACCAAAGACUUGACUCUGAUCCUUAAUGACAUCCACUGACUAUUCUGGGGCUAUAAAUAGCUUGUCCUCAGUGUAAAGACAUUCAGGGGUCUUAAAAAAUAAAAAAAUAAAAAAAUAAAAAAACAACAACCAGGCAA